GUUAUCUUGGUCUUUUAAGAUUGACUGCCCCAACUCCUCCUUUCCCACUCUCUCCACCAUCUUUCUUAAUUCUUCCUCUCCAGUCUCCACCCCUGUCCUUUCAAAAGUCGAAACGACGAAGAUCACCUUCCUCUCUUUCAAUCAAUCAGCUGUUACAAAGUAAAACCCUACUUAUGGCGAUUAUUGGUAGAUUUAUUUGCGAGCAUCUAAAAAGGAUGAGCAUCUCGUCACCUGGACAUUCUUUGGCACCGGAGGCAACGAGCGCUGGAACUGGAAGAGGGCAACAACUCUUCCUGCCAUUUCCCUACCGAUCUCAUCUCUAAUCUAGAUUGGAAUGAGACACUCAUUGGAUAUAAUAUUGAUGCCAAUACGUCCUUUUCAACCCCUUCUGGUUUGGUGUCCUGAACCAUAGCUACAAAGAGCAAGGAUUGGAUAAUCACAAACAGGGGCAAUUUGCUUAUACCAUAAAAUGGUUGUCUUGGGCAGUAGUAAUUCUGCAGAAAUCUGAAUGGAAGAAGGUCAGGGGGUCAGUCUUGAAGCCUGCCUACCCCCUGAAAUAGGUAAAAGCCCCAAACACCCAUAGACUCUGAAGCAACAAUGAUGAACAAUGAUAAAAUAUACAGAGCCUUGCACACCACGAGAGCAAGAGUCCACACUUGGAGAUAAAACAAGAUUUCAUGUAUCUUGGAGCACAAGUUCAACCCAGUCUGGUGGAAGUAUGGAGCUCCAUUUCACUCCUAAUUGCAAACCAGGCCUCUGGCAGCUAAAAAAAUGUGCUACUUAAUUGGCGCUUCUUCUCGGAUACGAGAAAGUAACUGCAAGUUUUCAGCUUUCAGAAGGAUCUCUCUUAAUCUCUACUGCAGCAAUCGUCCUCUUGCACUUCAGGGCCCUUAUUAGCUGACUAUAGUCAGAUUCUAAAAUGAAGUUGUUUAAACUUAAUUUUUGAGCAAGUUUCAUUCCUUGGAGUGCUGUGCUUCCAACCUGCAAAGGCUUCGUCUUCCAAAAAGUGUUUCUGCAACUCUUCAUCAUCAUUUGAAGAUGACUUCAAGCUCAAUGAAAUCAAAACCACCUCAUUC